GACGCCGACGAGCCCGACGAGCAGGGAGCAACACUAAGUGCAGGUUUCCUCCCCUUCGCAGGAGACCAGGUCGAUGACGCAGUCGACCCCUCAUUCAACCGCCGUGCCCUAGCAUCAGUUGUCGAUUCUUAUUUUUCUUACUCUCUGGUCGUGGGGAUCUUGGGAAACAUUGCUGCGGUUGGCUCCGGUCAACAUUAUCGUAGACAGAAGAUAACUUCCUUCAUCAGAUCCUUGAUCACCACCAUUAAUUGGAGAGUAAUCUGCAGAUCUAGAUU